AUUGAACGCUGGCGGCAGGCCUAACACAUGCAAGUCGAGCGGAUGAAGGGAGCUUGCUCCUGGAUUCAGCGGCGGACGGGUGUGUAAUGCCUAGGAAUCUGCCUGGUAGUGGGGGAUAACGUCCGGACACGGGCGCUAAUACCGCAUACGUCCUGAGGGAGAAAGUGGGGGAUCUUCGGACCUCACGCUAUCAGAUGAGCCUAGGUCGGAUUAGCUAGUUGGUGGGGUAAAGGCCUACCAAGGCGACGAUCCGUAACUGGUCUGAGAGGAUGAUCAGUCACACUGGAACUGAGACACGGUCCAGACUCCUACGGGAGGCAGCAGUGGGGAAUAUUGGACAAUGGGCGAAAGCCUGAUCCAGCCAUGCCGCGUGUGUGAAGAAGGUCUUCGGAUUGUAAAGCACUUUAAGUUGGGAGGAAGGGCAGUAAGUUAAUACCUUGCUGUUUUGACGUUACCAACAGAAUAAGCACCGGCUAACUUCGUG
rnacentral:rRNA from 1 species